rnacentral:rRNA from 1 species
GACGAACGCUGGCGGCGUGCUUAACACAUGCAAGUCGAACGGAAAGGCCUCUUUCGGGGGGUACUCGAGUGGCGAACGGGUGAGUAACACGUGAGUAACCUGCCCUUGACUUUGGGAUAACUUCAGGAAACUGGGGCUAAUACCGGAUAGGAGCUCCUGCUGCAUGGUGGGGGUUGGAAAGUUUCGGCGGUUGGGGAUGGACUCGCGGCUUAUCAGCUUAUUGGUGGGGUAGUGGCUUACCAAGGCUUUGACGGGUAGCCGGCCUGAGAGGGUGACCGGCCACAUUGGGACUGAGAUACGGCCCAGACUCCUACGGGAGGCAGCAGUGGGGAAUAUUGCACAAUGGGUGGAAGCCUGAUGCAGCAACGCCGUGUGCGGGAUGACGGCCUUCGGGUUGUAAACCGCUUUCGCUCAUGACGAAGCUUUGCGUGACGGUAGUGGGUAAAGAAGCACCGGCUAACUACGUG